ACGGGAGGCAGCAGUGGGGAAUAUUGCACAAUGGGGGAAACCCUGAUGCAGCGACGCCGCGUGAAGGAUGACGUAUUUCGGUAUGUAAACUUCUAUCAGCAAGGAAGAUGAUGACGGUACUUGACUAAGAAGCCCCGGCUAACUACGUGCCAGCAGCCGCGGUAAUACGUAGGGGGCAAGCGUUAUCCGGAUUUACUGGGUGUAAAGGGAGCGCAGGCGGCCAUGCAAGUCAGAAGUGAAAGCCCGGGGCUCAACCCCGGGACUGCUUUUGAAACUGUCAUGCUGGAGUGCAGGAGAGGUAAGUGGAAUUCCUAGUGUAGCGGUGAAAUGCGUAGAUAUUAGGAGGAACACCAGUGGCGAAGGCGGCUUACUGGACUGUAACUGACACUGAGGCUCGAAAGCGUGGGGAGCAAACAGGAUUAGAUACCCUGGUA
rnacentral:rRNA from 1 species